UCCACAGUGGCCUAAAAGGUAAAGAAUCUGCCUGCAUUGCAGGAGACCCAAGUUCGAUUCCUGGGUGAGGAA
rnacentral:tRNA from 1 species